GAGUUUGAUCGUGGCUCAGAUUGAACGCUGGCGGCAUGCCUUACACAUGCAAGUCGAACGGCAGCAUGAUCUAGCUUGCUAGAUUGAUGGCGAGUGGCGAACGGGUGAGUAAUACAUCGGAACGUGCCCUGUAGUGGGGGAUAACUAGUCGAAAGAUUAGCUAAUACCGCAUACGACCUGAGGGUGAAAGUGGGGGACCGCAAGGCCUCAUGCUAUAGGAGCGGCCGAUGUCUGAUUAGCUAGUUGGUGGGGUAAAGGCCCACCAAGGCGACGAUCAGUAGCUGGUCUGAGAGGACGAUCAGCCACACUGGGACUGAGACACGGUCCAGACUCCUACGGGAGGCAGCAGUGGGGAAUUUUGGACAAUGGGCGAAAGCCUGAUCCAGCAAUGCCGCGUGUGUGAAGAAGGCCUUCGG
rnacentral:rRNA from 1 species